ACGGCCCACGGUCAAACAUUCGCCUGUCCAACCCGUGACUGGGGGGAUGCCGCGUGGAGCCUACAGAGAAGCAAAUUGCCAGCGCCAAGACCACUUGCGCCCGCCUAUUUUCCCACGGGCACGUGUGAUAAUAGCACUGAGACAUCC
rnacentral:snoRNA from 1 species